rnacentral:rRNA from 1 species
GCUACGGACUCUUGUGUAGUUUAGUGGCGGACGGGUGAGUAACGCGUGAGCAACCUGCCUUUCAGAGGGGGAUAACGUCUGGAAACGGACGCUAAUACCGCAUGAGACUACAGCCUCGCAUGGGGCGGUGGCCAAAGGAGCAAUCCGCUGAAAGAUGGGCUCGCGUCCGAUUAGAUAGUUGGCGGGGUAGAGGCCCACCAAGUCGACGAUCGGUAGCCGGACUGAGAGGUUGAACGGCCACAUUGGGACUGAGAUACGGCCCAGACUCCUACGGGAGGCAGCAGUGAGGGAUAUUGGUCAAUGGGGGAAACCCUGAACCAGCAACGCCGCGUGAGGGAAGACGGUCUUCGGAUUGUAAACCUUUGUCCUCUGUGAAGAAGGAAGUGACGGUAGCAGAGGAGGAAGCUCCGGCUAACUACGUGCCAGCAGCCGCGGUAAUACGUAGGGAGCAAGCGUUGUCCGGAUUUACUGGGUGUAAAGGGUGCGUAGGCGGGUCGUCAAGUCAGGAGUGAAAUACAUGGGCUUAACCCAUGAACUGCUUUUGAAACUGACGAUCUUGAGUGAAGUAGAGGUAGGCGGAAUUCCCGGUGUAGCGGUGAAAUGCGUAGAGAUCGGGAGGAACACCAGUGGCGAAGGCGGCCUACUGGGCUUUAACUGACGCUGAGGCACGAAAGCGUGGGUAGCAAACAGGAUUAGAUACCCUGUCAGUCCACACUGUAAACGAUGAUUACUAGGUGUGGGGGGACUGACCC